rnacentral:misc_RNA from 1 species
GCAAACUUGGUCAUUUAGAGGAAGUAAAAGUCGUAACAAGGUUUCCGUAGGUGAACCUGCGGAAGGAUCAUUAAUGAAACUUCAGUCGGCUUGUCAUCAGUGCUGGUGGGUCACUCCACAUGUGCACGCUGAUGAGUCGCAUAUCCACACACUUGUGCAUCUAUGACUCUGAGCUGCCUGUUACUGUGCCAAUCUUGGGUUGGCCUGGGUGCUCGAGUACUUUUACACACUCUUGAAUGUAAUGGAAUGUCUUUUGUGCAUAAUGUACAAUCUAAACAACUUUCAACAACGGAUCUCUUGGCUCUCGCAUCGAUGAAGAACGCAGC